CCUACGGGAGGCAGCAGUGGGGAAUAUUGGGCAAUGGAGGAAACUCUGACCCAGCGACGCCGCGUGCGGGAUGAAGGCCUUCGGGUUGUAAACCGCUUUCAGUAGGGAAGAAGCGAAAGUGACGGUACCUACAAAAGAAGCACCGGCUAACUAUGUGCCAGCAGCCGCGGUAAUACAUAGGGUGCAAGCGUUGUCCGGAAUUAUUGGGCGUAAAGAGCUCGUAGGUCGUUUGUUACGUCGGAUGUGAAAACCUGAGGCUCAACCUCAGGCCUGCAUUCGAUACGGGCAAACUAGAGUUUGGUAGGGGAGACUGGAAUUCCUGGUGUAGCGGUGGAAUGCGCAGAUAUCAGGAGGAACACCAAUGGCGAAGGCAGGUCUCUGGGCCAAUACUGACACUGAGGAGCGAAAGUCUGGGGAGCGAACAGGAUUAGAUACCCUGGUAGUCCAGACCGUAAACGGUGGGCACUAGUUGUGGGAACCUUCCACGGUUUCUGCGACGCNGCUACGCAUAGUAGCCCGCCGUCGGGAGGUACGAGUCGCGAGAGUUAAACGUACGAAAGGAAGUUAGUAACGGUCGUGAGACGUGCCGAACGGACGACCGACGAGGGGAGGUUAGG
rnacentral:rRNA from 1 species